rnacentral:misc_RNA from 1 species
UAGGACUACAAGGGUUUCUAAUCCUGUUUGCUCCCCACGCUUUCGCACCUCAGCGUCAGUACCGGACCAGUGAGCCGCCUUCGCCACUGGUGUUCCUCCGAAUAUCUACGAAUUUCACCUCUACACUCGGAAUUCCACUCACCUCUUCCGGACUCGAGAUUCCCAGUAUCAAAGGCAGUUCCGGGGUUGAGCCCCGGGAUUUCACCCCUGACUUAAAAAUCCGCCUACGUGCGCUUUACGCCCAGUAAUUCCGAACAACGCUAGCCCCCUUCGUAUUACCGCGGCGGCUGGCAC